GACGAACGCUGGCGGCGUGCUUAACACAUGCAAGUCGAACGGAAAGGCCCUGCUUUUGUGGGGUGCUCGAGUGGCGAACGGGUGAGUAACACGUGAGUAACCUGCCCUUGACUUUGGGAUAACUUCAGGAAACUGGGGCUAAUACCGGAUAGGAGCUCCUGCUGCAUGGUGGGGGUUGGAAAGUUUCGGCGGUUGGGGAUGGACUCGCGGCUUAUCAGCUUGUUGGUGGGGUAGUGGCUUACCAAGGGUUUGACGGGUAGCCGGCCUGAGAGGGUGACCGGCCACAUUGGGACUGAGAUACGGCCCAGACUCCUACGGGAGGCAGCAGUGGGGAAUAUUGCACAAUGGGCGGAAGCCUGAUGCAGCAACGCCGCGUGCGGGAUGACGGCCUUCGGAUUGUAAACCGCUUUCGCCUGUGACGAAGCGUGAGUGACGGUAAUGGGUAAAGAAGCACCGGCUAACUACGUG
rnacentral:rRNA from 1 species